rnacentral:rRNA from 1 species
AAGCGCUGAGCGGCAGGCUUACACAUGCAAGUCGAGGGGUAUAGUAGCAAUACUAGAGACCGGCGCACGGGUGCGUAACGCGUAUGCAAUCUACCUUUUACAGAGGGAUAGCCCAGAGAAAUUUGGAUUAAUACCUCAUAGUAUAUAGCCCUGGCAUCAGGAUUAUAUUAAAGUCACAACGGUGAAAGAUGAGCAUGCGUCCCAUUAGCUAGUUGGUAAGGUAACGGCUUACCAAGGCUACGAUGGGUAGGGGUCCUGAGAGGGAGAUCCCCCACACUGGUACUGAGACACGGACCAGACUCCUACGGGAGGCAGCAGUGAGGAAUAUUGGACAAUGGGCGCAAGCCUGAUCCAGCCAUGCCGCGUGCAGGAUGACGGUCCUAUGGAUUGUAAACUGCUUUUGCACAGGAAGAAACAACGCUACGUGUAGCGUCUUGACGGUACUGUGAGAAUAAGGAUCGGCUAACUCCGUGCCAGCAGCCGCGGUAAUACGGAGGAUCCAAGCGUUAUCCGGAAUCAUUGGGUUUAAAGGGUCCGUAGGCGGUUUAGUAAGUCAGUGGUGAAAGCCCAUCGCUCAACGGUGGAACGGCAUUGAUACUGCUAGACUUGAAUUAUUAGGAAGUAACUAGAAUAUGUAGUGUAGCGGUGAAAUGCUUAGAGAUUACAUGGAAUACCAAUUGCGAAGGCAGGUUACUACUAAUUGAUUGACGCUGAUGGA